GAAUUGAAGAGUUUGAUCAUGGCUCAGAUUGAACGCUGGCGGCAGGCUUAACACAUGCAAGUCGAACGGUAGCAGGAAGAAGCUUGCUUCUUUGCUGACGAGUGGCGGACGGGUGAGUAAUGCUUGGGGAUCUGGCUUAUGGAGGGGGAUAACGAUGGGAAACUGUCGCUAAUACCGCGUAAUGUCUAAGGACUAGAGGGUGGGACUUUCGGGCCACCUGCCAUAAGAUGAGCCCAAGUGGGAUUAGGUAGUUGGUGGGGUAAAGGCCUACCAAGCCGACGAU
rnacentral:rRNA from 1 species